UACGUAGGUGGCAAGCGUUGUCCGGAUUUACUGGGCGUAAAGAGCGCGCAGGCGGUCGUUCAAGUCGCGUGUGAAAGCCCCCGGCUCAACUGGGGAGGGUCACGCGAUACUGAUCGACUCGAAGGCAGGAGAGGGUAGUGGAAUUCCCGGUGUAGUGGUGAAAUGCGUAGAUAUCGGGAGGAACACCUGUGGCGAAAGCGGCGCACUGGACCACAACUGACGCUGAGGCGCGAAAGCUAGGGGAGCAAACAGG
rnacentral:rRNA from 1 species